GGUGGGGAGUUGUUGUAUCGGGGCACCCCGUUUGCUUGCAGGCCUUUAAGAUGGGCCUGUUCAGGCUGGGAGCUGGUUCCCUGUGUCCUCCAGCCGAACAGGUAGGCUCUGCUGUUAAUGAAAACUGAGCAGAGCUGUUGCUGGAGGAAGCUGAGCUGUUUUUUCUAGAUACCAUUCCCAGUUUCCAGACAUGCUUACCAACAUAAUAUGAUGGUUGCAGACAGACCUGUGGGUGCUGUCUUGAUCAGCAUUGCUGUCACGAUAGCCCUAAUGAGGGGGAGAACACCAGUGCUCUGGACAGGGGAUUUUCACAGAACAGGGAGCUGCCCUUCCUCAGGGAGAGGGAAAUCCAGAGGUGGAGCAGAAGCUCUGAAAAGUUGCUGGCCUCUAGUCAAACGCAGGCUCUUAGCCAUGGCUGGAGAAAUGAAGCCUACGAGCCCCAGCUCAAUGCAGUUGAAGUGUAUGACACUGUUACACGUUUGCUUGUGGCAUUGGUCAGGCUUUCAGCGAGCUGUGCUGCAGAACUGCGGGAGAAGAAGGCAGCUCUCUGUUCCUACUGAGAGAAACCCUGGUACAGAAACCAUCAAGGUUCAGAGGAGCAUAGGCCUUCCAAGAGCAGCUCGGGUCUCAAAGCCUAUCCCCCGCUUCACAGAUGCAGCACCACUCUUUAAAAUCUACAUUGAAGCGACCAGAAAUCUUUGUGUUCUGUAUUUCCCUUCCAAGUGUGGGAUCCUACUGGUCUCCUCACAUGAAGAAAGGAGGGACUAAUGGAUACCCCCUUGGUGUGAAACGUGUGGUAGCUGAGCAGCAAGGACAGACCUGCCAGUGACCUGCAAGAACCUCCAGUCCUGCUUGAGCAGAAUAGCGCCUCUGCUCUCCUUCCUUCCUGCUGCUACGCUCUGGAGAAGCCAAAUCACAGGACUGGAGCAGGGCACCGGGCACGUGCUUAAACAGCUGGAAGGGGAAUGAAGUCCUGGCUGUGCCCUGCUGCUGGCUGUAAGGCUCGCCCAAAUCAGCUGCAGCAGGGCAGGAUGAGAACUGAAGCUUUAGUACCACUCAGUGCAUUUGGCUGGGGAGUCCUGUACCACCAGGAAACUGUCCUGGAGACUCCCCCUACCUACAUGCAAAAAAUGAAAGAAAAUGCAUAAUAAUUCUCCAUUAUUCAAGUCCUAUCUGCCAAGUGAUGCUAAGAGGGCAGAUUUUUAGGCUGCUUUUAGUGCUUUUUGACAGAGGGGGGAGCUGUCAGCUCACCUUUGAACUGCUCAGCAAGCAGGGAUGCCCGCCUGGGAGCUGGUUAAGCUGCCUGGGUGGCCCACCGAAGGAAGAUGUUAAUCCUCACUUCCAAGAGGUGGACACUAACUUGCUUAAAUCUUUUGCUUUAAGUGCAUGUAUGGGGUGUUCUGUGUCCCUGUACAAUGAAAACCACAAAAAGCAGUGUGCAGGGACAGUGGGAGCAGCAGGCCUGAGAAGCUGUUUGGAGGUAGAAUGUUUGGCAGUGGGGUCUUGCACUUUUUGUUGCUGUAGUAAUGCCCCCUUGGUUGCAUGAAGAGCUGCCGGAAAACUGCAGCCUGUGCAACGUCUUCUUGCUAAUGGCUAGAGAUGGAGCACCCUCCUCUGUGUCUGAGAGAUGCAAGCAGACUUUUUAUCUGGGGUACCUGCCAGGCAAGCAAAAAGCUAGGUUAAACUGGUCUGAGGUUGACUCAGGCCAAUGCGGACUGGUCUAAAGUGGAAUAACAACCUGAUCCCAUGUGCCAUUUCUCCUGGCAGCCUUCCUGCCUCAGCCAGUAGCAGUGUGACAAAGUGUGGCUUAAUUACAACCCUGAAAUAAAAAGAAUUUCUUCAUCAGAUGUUGCUUUAUGGCUGUGUCAGUUGUGUUCUGUCCAGUUGCUCGUGGCAGAGCUCCAAGUGGGCUGAAUCGUGCUGGUUUGGCAGGUAUGGGGGGAUGGUGGUGGUGGUUUGAGUGCGCAGCUGGGCAGAAUGGGGCUCUGAGUCAGAAGCUCCUGGUGAUGUUGCUGAAAUCGGUUUGCCACAAAGGUCUUUUUGUUCUACUUCAUACUGGAGCUGUCUUUAUGCAGUCUUUCUGCCUUCAGAAGUAUGGCUCAGGCCCAGUUCCUGCAAGUCAUAUGCAUUCAUUCAUUAGCUGUUGGAAAAAGGCAAGUAAGAAAAAGUUGUGGCUGUGUUACAUGUUUGU